rnacentral:tRNA from 1 species
GGAGGAUUCGCAUAGCGGUUUAUUGCGCCACCUUGGAAAGGUGGUAACUGGGCAACUGGUUCGGGGGUUCGAAUCCCCCAUCCUCCGCCA